rnacentral:lncRNA from 1 species
ACUACUAAUACUGCUGCUACUACUACCAGUACUAUUACUAUUAUUUGAUAUUUUGUGUUGUUAGGGCAUUCUUUAAGCACUAAGCAUGGCUUGGUUACACAACUACAGAUCAGAUAAGAUUUUUACAAGAUAAAUAAUUUUGUUGCUUCUUCCUCUCAACCUGCAAGAAGAAAACUCAGCACAACUGUUCACUUCUCACACCAGAGCUAAACCUCUCUCAUCUCAGCACAGCUGCAGAUCCACCGCUCUACACUGUGAGAAUGAACCCCAAAACAUUUCUGUGUUUAACAGCACUCCUGUUCCUGUCUGUUCAUCUCUGUUGUGGAGGAGAUAAAGCCCCCAAGAAGCCAUCGGGUAAAGCUGUGUGGGAACCUGGACGCACAGUUCUAAUGGCCAGUCCUCUUAUACGUUCAGUGAGUUAAUUUUCUUUUUUUUUAAUUUAUAAAUUUGGCUAAAUAUUGAGAUGUUAAAAAAUAUUGAUAUAUUUUCAUAUGAGAUAUAAGAUGAGACAAUAUUGUUUAUAUCGAUAUAGACUAUACUGCAUUACAGUGAGCUCUGUCAGUUUUCCCCGUGUCUCUGGAUGGCAUCAUGGUAUAGAAG